UGUAUAGUAACACCAACCUUCUCUUGUAACUUACCUUUUAGCAAUGGCGGAAAUAGUACAUGACUUUUUCCCAUUGAUGAGAGUUUACAAAGACGGUCGAAUAGAAAGGCUGGCGGGCGAAGGUUUUGUCCCACCUGAAUCUGAUCCUGAAACUGGACUACAAAUCAAAGACAUUGAAAUUGAUCCACAAAUUAACCUAUCAGCAAGACUCUACCUGCCCAAAAAUGUUCAGAAAAUUCCCCUUUUCGUCUACUUUCAUGGCGGUGGCUUUGUGAUCGAAUCUGCUUCUUCACCUUCCUAUCACAAGCAUCUAAGCACAGUAGCAGCUGAAGCAAAAGUCGUUAUCGUUUCUGUUAACUACAGGUUAGCUCCUGAGUACCCGUUACCCAUAGCUUAUGAAGAUUCAUGGUUAGCUCUCAAAUGGAUCGCUUCACAUGCUAAUGGUGAUGGCCAUGAGCCAUGGCUAAAAGAACAUGCCGAUUUCAGUCGGGUUUAUUUUGGGGGAGAUAGCGCGGGUGGUAACAUCGCACACCAUAUAGCGAUUCGGGUCGGGUUGGAAAAGUUGGAUGGUGUGAAACUUGAAGGGAUUUUCCUUGCCUGUCCAUUUUUCUGGGGGAAGGAUCCGAUUGACGGUGAGGGGGAAAACUUGGGUGCCAAGGAUUUCGUUGAGAAGCUAUGGUUGUUUGCGUAUCCGAAUAGCUUGGGAUUAGAUGACCCGUUGAUUAACCCGGAAAAGGAUCCGAAUUUGUCUAGCUUAGGAUGUGAUAAAGUAGUUGUAUAUGUGGCCGGAAAAGACCCUUUGAGAUUCAGGGGAUUUUACUAUAAGGAGGCGCUGGAGAAGAGUGGUUGGCCGGGGACGGUGGAGGUUGUGGAAGUUAAAGAUGAAGAGCAUGUAUUUCACCUGUUUGCUACAGAAACUGAAAAUGCCAUGAGCAUGAUGAAAAAAUUGGUCUCUUUCCUUAAUCAGUCCUAGGUCUUGUAGUCAUGGAAGUGAGUAGUAUUUUUAUUUUAUGAAUAAAAUGAAUAUAAUUGAUAACAACUUUCCCCUGUAAAUCUUUUUCUUAAUAUAUUUCUCAAUCUUUCAAUAAUGCGGUCUAUCGACUAUCAACAAUGUUUAUUAGUAUUUUUUUCUUCUUUACUAGUGAAGCAAGCUUGUCUAGGUAAGCAGGGGAGUUCAUUUAUCGACUAUCAACCCUUCUUUUUGUAACUUAGCUUUGGAAAUAGAACCUGACCUUUCCCACUGAUUAGAGUUUACAACGAUGGUCGAAUCGAGAGGAUGAUGGGAAGAUUUUAUCGCACCUGGAUCGGAUCCUGAAACCGGAGUACAAAUCAAAGACAUUGAAAUUGAUCCACAAAUUAACCUAUCAGCGAGACUUUACCUGCCAAAUAUAUAGACCCAGUUCAGAAAAUUCCCCUUUUCAUUUACUUUCACGGUGGCGCCUUUGUAAUCGAAUCUGCUUCUUUAUCACAAGCAUCUAAGCACGGUAGCUGCUGAAGCAAAAGUCCUCAUCAUCAUUUAAAUCUUUUUAGACAUUAUUUCAAAAUUGAAGUGAAGCAAUUGCAAUCUUCUAUAAUAUUUGAAAAGAACUUAAACAUCGGACUUAAUAUUUUAAAAUAAUGGAUAAGAUAUCUCAAAACAGGGUCUAAAACAAAUAUGAAAAUCUUCAUGGAUAUAAUUAUUAGAUUACAAAAUAACAAUAUUAAAUUUUGUUAAUCAUGGCUACUUAUCGGAGUAAGUGGUCAUAAUUCAUAUGAAGCCACUUUUUUAUGAUCUAGAAAAUGGUUAUUAUUCCAUGAAAUCUUCCUUCUAUAUACUCAUAACUUAUUAUUUCACCAUCUUUUUACACUUUGUUUGGAUCAUUGUUAUCCAUUAUUUCAUAAUGUAUUCUAUUGUAUUGUACUCUAUUGUACUGUAUUGUAUAGUAGAUACAAUGUUUGGCUAGACUGUAUUGUUUGUUGUUGUUUAAUAACAUUUAAUUGUCCGAUUUGACCGUAUCGUAAUGUAUUGUAAUUUAUAGAUUUACUAAAAUAUCCUAAUUAUUCUAGGUCAUGAGAUUUGACUAGAUUCAAAUAAUUAAGAUAAAGGGUAAAAUAGUAUUUUAAAAUAUUAUGUAAUAUAUAAUUGAAAAAACAAAUUAUGUAACAAUGGUAACAAACCAAAUUAGUUGUUCCAUAAAUAAGAGUUUUCAUUAUUACAUAACAACAAAAUUUAAUAAUACAAUAAAAUACAUUUUAAGUAACAAUCAAAACAAACAUUGUAGAUGUAAUAACAAUAAAAUAUAAUGGAUAACAAUAAUCAAAACAUAGUGUUUAUUGGAUAUGAAAAAUGUUGAAAAAAUUAUAAGUAAAAAAAGAAGAGAUCUUUUAUAUAUAUUUAUUUUGAAAUGAAAGUUUUUUUUUAUUUUUUGGUUAAGAAACUCCAUAACUUGUUUGAACAAGUUAUUGCACAAAUAAAUGCAAAUGGACAUAAAAACUAUCAAAAUUGAAAUAGAGUAAACAUUUUGACCCCAAACUAGGAAAAAGAAAGGAUUUGGGCGAAUAAUUCAAUGCAUAUAAUUAAAAGAGGCACAUUUUAAAACAAAGCAAAUUCUUGGUUAUAAAAGUAAAUGUCACAGCACUGUGUAUUAGUAUACCAACCUUCUUUGCAACUUAGCUUUUAGCAAUGGCGGAAAUAGAACAUGAUUUUUUCCCAUUGAUGAGAGUUCACAAAGAUGGUCGAAUAGAGAGGCUGGCGGGCGAAGUUUUUGUCCCACCUGAAUCUGAUCCUGAAACCGGAGUACAAAUCAAAGACGUUCAAAUUGAUCCACAAAUUAACCUAUCAGCAAGACUUUACCUGCCCAAAAAUGUAGACCCGGUUCAGAAAAUUCCCCUUUUCGUCUACUUUCACGGCGGUGGCUUUGUUAUCGAAUCUGCUUUUUCACCUACCUAUCACAAAUAUCUAAGCCUGGUAGCAGCUAAAACAAAAGUCGCCAUCAUCUCAGUUAACUAUAGGUUAGCUCCUGAGUACCCGUUACCCAUAGCUUAUGAAGAUUCAUGGCUAGCUCUCAAAUGGGUCACUUCACAUGCCAAUGGUGAUGGUCGUGAACCAUGGUUAAAAGACAAUGCCGAUUUCAAUCGUGUCUAUUUGGGCGGAGAUAGCGCGGGUGGUAACAUCGCACACCAUAUAGCCAUUCGGGUCGGGUUGGAAAAGUUGGAUAGAGUGAAAAUUGAUGGGAUUUUCCUUGCCUGUCCAUCUUUCUGGGGGAAGGAUCCGAUUGACGGUGAGGGGGAAAUCGUGGGUGCCAAGGAUUUCGUUGAGAAGCUAUGGUUGUUUGCGAAUCCGAAUAGCUCGGGAUUAGAUGACCCGUUGAUUAACCCGGAAAAGGAUCCGAAUCUGUCUAGAUUAGGAUGUGAUAAAGUAGUUGUAUAUGUGGCCGGAAAAGAUCUCUUGAGAUUCAGGGGAUUAUACUAUAAGGAGGUGUUGGAGAAGAGUGGGUGGCCGGGGACGGUGGAGGUUGUGGAAGUUAAAGAUGAAGAACAUGUAUUUCACCUGACUGCUACAGAAACUGAAAAUGCCAUGGCCAUGAUGAAAAAAUUGGUCUCUUUCCUUAAUCAGUCAUAGGACUUCUAAUCAUGGAUUUGGGGUACUAAUUUUAUGAAUAAAAAAUGGAUGUAAUUGUUAAAGAUUUUCUCAUGCUAAAUCUUUUUCUUAGUAUAUUUCUCGAAUGCAGCCUAUUAAUUUUAUCGACUUUAAUAAGAUUUUAUUAUAAAGUGAUAAAUAUUUCUUUAUUUUUACUCAAAUUCUUAGUUUUGAAAGUUCAUCUACGUAUGCACGAGUUGUAAAAAAAAAAAAAGGCAGGAGAGUUCAUUAAUUUGACUCUCCAUUUAUGGAGCAUCUUGCUACACUGCUUCAACUUGUUAUUUCUAAGACAGAACAAACUACUGUAAAGUGAUGACAAGGAAUACCACCAACAUACGUUUUUGUUUUAUAAAAAUAUAAAAUAAUUGGAAAACCAAAUAUCGCAGUAAACUUUCUGCUAUCGAUCUAUCUAGUUCUAUCUCCGUUAAAAACUAAGUCAUAUAUAAAAUAAUGACCUUGCCUUAAUCGUCACGUAUGAGCUACGCACAUUAGAAUUGUUUAUUUUAAGUAUAUAGUGAUGAAUGAUAGGAGAAAAAAAUUAUAUAUGAAAUCGUUCUAUUUUAAUUUGAAAUUUUUAUUUUUUACAUCGAAUAAAGUAGAAUUCAAAGUAAGGUUGAAUUGAUUGGAGUUCUAACAUUUAAAAUUAUUUAGUUCUGUUAUUUUGAAUUUUUUAUUUUAAUUUUUGAGUCUUGAGGCAAGUAUGACAAUUAAUAAGCUCGUCAUUUUUUAGAAGGUAUAAUUUUUACCGUUUACCAAGAUUGAGGCCACUCAGACUUGUGCCGUGGACUAAGUUUUACUUAUUCAUAGACUAUUUUUCAUAUUUUAUCUAGAUUGGUACUAGAAAACAUAACAUAUGAUAUUAGAAAUGACAAAAGAAUUAGAUAAAUGUGUGGAUGAAAAGGUGAAGUGGAAAUUAAAGAAAAAGAAGGGGAAGAACAUGUUUUUCAUUUGGUUAAGCUGAAUUCUUGGUUGUGUAGAAUUUCUUUCCUGUUUUAGUUGUUUUAAAAGUUCAUUAAAUAUAUUUAAAAAAAUUAUUUAAUUAUGAAUACGCUCAAUAAUACGCUCAAUGAUUUAUAAAAGUUAAAUUAUUUUUAUUCAUAAGUUUUAAAUUUCGAUUAUAUUAUAUCUCGAAAAGAAAUUCUCACUAAAUAAAAGAACUUGCAGUGGUCAUUGCAUGUGGACUCCGCUCACUUGAAUUAUUUGUAUUUUAUAUAUCAACGAGGACAAAAGAAGUCUUUGUCCUCUAGAAACAUUAUUAUAGAUGCAAAGUUAUAAUAGAACGACGUCUUGAUAUUUAUAAAAGAUAAUUUUAUUCUUUGUAGUAUGCUUUUUAAAAAUCAUCAAAAUUUAUUUUAAUAAAAGAUAGACGAUAUUGAGUAGGAAUGUUAAAUAGGCGGGUAAGAUUAAAAUUGAAUCUAUUAAAAUGGAUUAAAAUUUGAAUGAAUUGUAAUUAAAUUCAAUUCAAAAUUAUCUUGAGUUAAAAUCUCAAAAUUCGAAUUUAGUGAGUUAGCUACAGUUGAGCUCAUUUUAACAUCCAUAAUGUUUGAAGUUAAAAAUGAAAAAGGAGAUUAUUUGUGUCGCAUUCGUCGUUUGAUCAAUCAAUUAUAAAAUUAUUCAACAGCAAAUAUGAUAUACUUGAUCCUAUUAAUACUGAUUAUGGACUUUUGAAAAUUAUUUUAAAACUUAAAGCAAAAUAUUUAAAAAAUUGGUUAAACUAUGACACCAUCUUACAAGACCAAUGUUUAUACAAAGAAAGAAAGGGCGAAAGAAUCUUCUUAUUUUUGGUAAUCUAAUAAGCAUUUUAAACAAACUUAGUCCAAAUUACUUUCUUUGUUAUUUUUAUUUAAAUAUAAACAAUACGUGGAUAUAUUAGGAGAAAUAAGUAUUUCUAAAAAUGAAGGGAAAACAUAAUUCUGUGGAUAGAAGUUAAUCUUAUUUAUUUAAUUGCCACAGACUAUCGCUCUUAAAAGUAGCAUUCACAGCACUUGGGUAGGAAAUAGUAGCAUUCACCAACCUUCUGUUGCAACUUAGCUUUUAGCGAUGGCGGAAAUAGUAUAUGAUUUUUUCCCAUUUAUGAGAGUUUACAAAGACGGUCGAAUCGAAAGGCUGAUGGGCGAAGGUUUUGUCCCACCAGAAUCAGAUCCUGAAACCGGAGUACAAAUCAAAGACGUUCAAAUUGAUCCACAAAUUAACCUAUCAGCAAGACUUUACCUGCCCAAACAUGUGGACACUGUUGAGAAAAUUCCUCUUUUUGUCUACUUUCACGGCGGUGGUUUUCUGAUCGAAUCUGCUUAUUCACCUUCAUAUCACAAGCAUAUAAGCAAAGUAGCAGCUGAAGCAAAAGUAGUUAUUGUUUCUGUUAACUACAGGUUAGCUCCUGAGUACCUUUUACCCAUAGCUUAUGAAGAUUCCUGGCUAGCUCUCAAAUGGGUCGCUUCACAUGCCAAUGGUGAUGAUGGUCAUGAGCCAUGGCUAAAAGACCAUGCCGAUUUCAAUCGCCUCUUUUUGGGGGGAGAUAGUGCGGGUGGUAACAUUGCACACCAUAUAGCCAUUCGGGUGGGGUUGGAAAAGUUGGAUGGAAUGAAACUUAAAGGGAUUUUCCUUGCCUGUCCAUUUUUCUGGGGGAAGGAUCCUAUUGACGGUGAGGGAGAAAAAUUAGUUGUCAUUGAGAAGCUAUGGUUGUUCGUGAAUCCGAAUAGCUCGGGAUUAGAUGACCCGUUGAUUAACCCGGUAAAGGAUCCGAAUUUGUCUAGCUUAGGAUGUGAUAAAGUAGUUGUGUAUGUGGCCGGAAAAGAUGUGUUGAGAUUCAGGGGACUUUACUAUAAGGAGGUGUUGGAGAAGAGUGGGUGGCCGGGGACGGUGGAGGUUGUGGAGGUUAAAGAUGAGGCACAUGUGUUUUACCUGUCUGCUACAGAAACUGAAAAUGCCAUGGCCAUGAUGAAAAAAUUGGCCUCUUUCCUUAAUCAGUCCUAGGCCUAGUCAUGGUAAUUGGGUACGCACGUGUUGAAGAAGAAGAAAACUUACUAUUGAAAUAUGUAUGUCAAAGGAACAGGUCAAACAAAACUAAUUUUGAAGAGUUUACGGCAGUGCUGCCUAUCUCACGUACUAUUUUAAUGAAUAAAAAAUGAAUGUAAUUUCUCACAGUAAAUCUUUUUCUUAAUAUAUUUCUCAAUCUGCAGCCUACUCUUUUAGUUGAAAUAGGUUGACUAAACGGAUGGACUAAAUGUAAGUUGGUAAAUAUUUCUAUCUGCAAAUAUCAGAUGUGGGCAUUCACACUGUUCAAAUUGAAUAUGAAAAUUUGAUUUGAGUUUUUUAUUUUUGUAUUGAAGAAAUUACCGUUUUUCAAAUUCAAUUAACCUUGCAAUUGAUUGGAGUUUUAAGGUUUCAUUUAAAACUAAUCAAUUUUGACAUUGUGAAUUUAAAUUUUUGAGCCUUUAAUACAAGUGUGACAAUAAACAAGCUCAAUUCCCUUGAUAGUUUACUGUUUGGAAUGUAUAACUUUUUACAGUUCACUUGAGGUCACUACACUCGUGCCGUGGGUUAUACUGGUAGACUAUUUUUUCACUUUUAUCCACGUGAUGUCGGAAAUAAAAUAGAAUUAUUUGAUUUUAAUUAAUGAAAUCAUUUUGAUGACAUAGAAUACUAUUUGACUCUUAAAAAUAAAUUUUAUUACCAAGUUGUUGGUUUUAAAAGUAGAUCUAUCUCACAGAACUUGUUUAUAGUAACACCAACCUUUUCUGGUAACUUAGCUUUCAGUGAUGGCGGAAAUAGAACAUGACCUUUCCCCACUGAUUAGAGUUUACAGAGAUGGUCGAAUCGAGAGGAUGAUGGGUGAAGGUUUUGUCCCACCUGAAUCGGAUCCUGAAACCGGAGUACAGAUCAAAGACAUUGAAAUUGAUCCACAAAUUAACCUAUCAGCGAGACUUUACCUGCCCAAAAAUGUCGACCCGGUUCAGAAAAUCCCCCUUUUCGUCUACUUUCACGGCGGCGCUUUUGUAAUCGAAUCUGCUUCUUCACCUACCUAUCACAAGCAUCUAAGCAUGGUAGCAGCUGAAGCAAAAGUCAUCAUUGUCUCUAUUAACUACAGGUUAGCUCCUGAGUACCCGUUGCCCAUAGCAUAUGAAGAUUCAUGGAUAGCUCUCAAAUGGAUCGCUUCACAUGCUAAUGGUGAUGGUGAUGAACCAUGGCUAAAAGACCAUGCCAAUUUCAAUCGCGUCUAUUUUGGGGGAGAUAGUGCGGGUGGUAACAUCGCACACCAUAUGGCCAUUCGGGUCGGGUUGGAAAAGUUGGAGGGUGUGAAACUUGAUGGGAUUUUCCUUGCCUGUCCAUAUUUCUGGGGGAAGGAUCUGAUUGACGGUGAGGGAGAAAACUUGUUUGUCAAGGAUUUUAUUGAUAAGCUAUGGCUGUUUGCGAAUCCCAACGGCUCGGGAUUAGAUGACCCAAUGAUUAACCCGGAAAAGGAUCCGAAAUUGUGUAGCUUAGGGUGUGAGAAAGUAGUUGUGUAUGUGGCCGGAAAAGAUGCAUUGAGACUCAGGGGAUUAUACUAUAAGGAGGCGUUGGAGAAGAGUGGGUGGCCGGGGACGGUGGAAGUUGUGGAAGUUAAAGAUGAGGAACAUGUUUUUCACCUGUUUGCUCCUGAAGCUGAAAAUGCCAUGGCCAUGUUGAAAAAAUUGGUCUCUUUCCUUAAUCAGUCUUAGGCCUUCUAAUCAUGGAAUUGAGUACUAUUUUUAUGAAUUAAUUGGAUGUAAUUGUUAAAAAAUUUCUUUUUAUUGAAUAAAUGUUGGAUCAUUUAGAAAGAUCUUGUGGUAGCUUAUUACACUAUGUUGUUAAUUUUUGUUUAUUGAAAUCUCAAGUUCAAAUAAAAUUCUAACUUGAUUUCAUAUUGCUUAUUAGAAGAUCAUGUCUAAAUAAUCAUAUUUCAACUUGUGAUCAAUCCCUAAAUACCGAUAGAAAAAAAAUAAGGCAUAAUAGUUAUUUUUUAUAUAACAAGAUUAUUAGUUAUUCGUUGGAUUUCUUUGUGAUAUUUCACUUGAAUCAUUAAUUUUCUAUCAUAGUUUCUCCCUUAUUCGUAUAAAUUAUAAUACUCCUUCCGUUCAAAUUAAUUGAUUAUCUUACUAAAAAUGUUUGUCUCAUAUUAGUUGAUCACCUUACUAAAUAAAAAAAAUAUUAGUCAAAAUUUUUCUAUAUUACCCUAGCAAUUAUUUCAUUUGAAAGUGUUCAUACUUAUUUGUAAAAUUUCCAAGAAGUUUUUUAAAGAGGUGAAUAAGUUAAAUUAUUUUCUUAUUUAUGUCAUAGCUAAUGUUAAGGGAAAUUCUAAUUUGCAACUACAGGUUUGCCCAAUCUUGCUAAGCCUGGUUUGUAUAAUUCACAUGAUUGUAUAAUAUUGUUCUUGACUGCAUAAAUUUAAAAUUUUGAAUAUGCUUACCUUAGUUAUUUGUAUAUGAUUUAUGAAAAAAUUAUAAUAAAGUACCUCGUUUGUAUUUUGACAAGUGAAAUAUACAAAUAGAUAGAAAUAUAUUUUUGCAACUUUUAUAGCAAAUUAAAUUAUAGUUAUGAAACACAAUCAUCAAAACUAUAGCUAUAAAGCAUAAUUAUAUCUAUUAUGUUUGCUAUUUCGAAAAUCUUUCUCUUUAUGAUAUAUACUUAAAAUAUAAGAGAAAAGUUGUUGCUCACAUAAUUUCAUUAAAGUUUGAGUGGGAUAUCCUUAAAAAACAUGAAAAUUUAAGAGAAUACAUAGAAUAACCAUAUGAUCAUUUAAAUCAUUUUAGAAAUUAUUUCAAAAAUUGACAUGAAACCAUUACAAUCUUUUCUAAUAUUUGAAAGAACUUAAGCAUCUGAUUCAAAAUCUUAAAAUAAUGAACAAGUUAUCUUAAAACAUGGUCUAAAACCCAUAUGAAAAUCUUCAUAACAGAGGAGAGACGUACAUAAUUAUUGGAUUACGAAAUAAUAAUAUUAAAUUAUGUUAAUCAUGGCGCUAUUUAUCGGAGAAAGUGGUCAUAAUUCAUAUGAGGACACUUUUUUAUGAAUAGAAAAUGGUUAUUAUUCCUUGAAAUCAUCUAUAUUCUUAUAACUUAUUACUUCACUAUCUUUUAAUUGGAUAUGAAAAUGUUUGUAUAGUAUAUGAAAAAGUAGAAUUAUUAUUGAAAAAAUGAAAAGGGCCUAAAAUACGUUCGAACUAUUGGAAAUGGUAUAAAAUACUCUUCAUCCACCUAUUGAUUUUAAAAUGCCCUUUUCGCCACGUAUUGACUUCAAAAUAUUCUUGUCAUCCACCUUUGAGUUCAAAAUUGACCACUUGUUUAAGGAUUCAAAUUUAAACCAUUUGAAUAAUUUUUUAAAAUACUUGGCGCUCAACAAUUUGAUAUAAUUUAAUUUAUUAAUAUCAUUUAUAAAUCAACUUCUACCCAUCCAUUACUAAUUAAACCCCACCCAAUUAAUAAAUCAACUCUAAUAUCAAAAUCGCCCUAAACACUAUUAAAAGGCACGACGAAAUUACAGAUUCCUAAAAAUGAUAUUCAAAAUUAUUCGAGUUUGAAUUGAAAGUUCAAUUAAAUUUAGCUUGAACCACUUAUUUAGGAAGAUACUUUCAAUAUGAUUCUCUUUCAAGCUUAAAUUCGAAUUUUAUGAUUAAAGAUAAAGAAAUAGUACAUCCCGAAUUAAUUCAUGCAUUUUUUAAAUAUAAUUUAAUAAAUAUUUAUUAUUUGUUUUAAAUAUUAAAACUUUAAUACAUUCUUUUUAAAAAAGUUAUCUAUUAAGUAACAUCACAUAAUUGAGACGAGUGAAUAAUUAAGAUGAACAUAGUCAGACUUUUAAGUUUAUUGAUAAUUUUUAAUUAGACACUUGAAUUAUAAUAUGUUUUGAUUGAGGACUUCUAUGUAUGAUAAUCUACUUCUAUAGACAUUUUUGCCUCAAAAUUUUAGUAUUAGCUGUAGUUUUUUUGUUGUUGCAUUAGUAAUGAGUCGGGUUUAUUAAUUGGGUGUGAUUUAAUUAGUAAUUGUGAGUCGGGUUUAUUAAUUGCGUGUGAUUUAAUUAGUAAUUAUGGGUAGUAGAUUGAUUUAUAAAUUAUAUUAAUAAGUUAAAUUAUAACAAAUAGUUGAGAGUCAUGUAUUAAAAAAUAUUUAAAUAGUUUAAAUUUAAAAUCGUUAAAUAAGUGGCCAAUUUUGAACCCAAAGAUGGAUGACAACGGUAUUUUAGAGUCAAUAGGUGGAUGAGAAGGGUAUUUUGGAAUCAAUAGGUGGAUGGAAGAUAAUUUUGUACCAUUUCUAAUACUUCAAAAAUAUUUUAGGCCGUUGAAAAAAAGAGAUCUUUUUAAUUUAUUUAUUUUGAAAUGUGUUUUUUGUUUUUGUGGAGUUUGUUGAGGGACUCCAUAACUUGUUCAAAUUUUGUUUGAACAAGUAAUAGCACAAAUAAAUGCAAAUGGCCAUAAAAACUAUCAAAAUUAAAUUAUUAGUUACUUUAAGUAAACAUGUUGAUGUUGACCCCAAACUAGGAAAAAAAGGAUUUGGACAUUCAAUUCAAAAUGUGUUAUAAAAUCAAGCUAAUAAGAAUAUAAUUAUAAAGAGAAGAAGACAAGAAAAGUAGAUAGAAGAAAGGGAAUUUUCUUCUUAUUCAAGUGUGUACUUCAAAUGGUGAGUAAUGUCUCUAUUUAUAGUGUUGAAAUAUCACUCCCAAAGAUAACCAAAUUAAUAGAUACAUAUUUGUCCAUAAUGGAUCAUAUCACCUUGAAAAUAUACAUACAUGAAUACAAGUAAAUCAUGAAUAUCCAAUGGACAAUCCACUUAAUUAGUUCAAUGGAUUUGUAACACUUCCCCUUGGAUGUCCAUAGAUAAUGUGUCUCGUUAAAACCUUAUUUAAAAAAAACCUGUGGAAAAAAAUUUCUAGUUAAGGAAAAAGAGUACACAUCUUUUGAUACGCACUAUUUGUUGCCUCAUUAAAAACCUUGUGAGAAAACCCAGUGGGAAAAAACCUCGGUCAAGGAAAAAAAAGUGCAACACGUAUUAUACUCCCCUUGAUUAAAACAUCACUUAAUUUCUUGUGAUGAUGUCUCCAAUCUUCGUACAUUGUGGUUGGUAUAUUAUUUUUCAAAGAAAAACCACAACCCUUAUAGGCAAGAACAAUUUCUUUCUUUUGCCCUUUCGGUAGUUCACAAUAAACAUACCAUAGUGACGUAUAAAACGUACAAUACAAUUAGCCAUUUCUGCCAAAUACAAUUUAUUUCCUCUCAAAUCUCCCGUAGAGAUGAGAAGUGACAUAUAUCAUUUUUUCUCAAACCUUCCAUAAGGUGAGUUGUGGCAUAUAUCCAACCUAUAAUGAUUUUAUCACAUCUUGAUCCAUCUCUUAUAAAAUGGUCCAGCAUUCACGAUACUCAUCACAAGUCACAUUCUCUUGAAGGAAUGGACUAAUUAUUUGUAUGUGCUUCAUAAAUUUGCAUUAUAAGCACAUUGUCAUGGCUUUAAAAUUCAUCAUAUUUCCAUGACACACCUCAACAUCACUUUGAAAGAUCAAGUGUACCAUCACUUUAUCUUCUUGUAUCAUGAUAAAGGAUUUAUAAACUUGUCAAAUUAUUAGGUUGACAACAUUCACAAGUCUAAUGACCUUUCAUACAAUUUUGAUAAUAAAAAUUGUCUUCACAUUUUGAAGGACUAUUUGAAGAACUCAUAGUGUUCUUCCUUUUAUCAUUACUACAAUGAUAACUACUAUAAUUUUGUCCCUCCACGCCCUUAUUCAUAUCAUUAAUUAUUUGUCAUCUUUCAGACUAAUCAUUCACUCCUACCAUAUUCAUAUGAUUGGAUGGAGCAAGUCAACAGACAGAUUUCAGAGUUAUCACAUGUUGCUACCACAUUCUUUUCAAGGAAUGGAGCAAAUUUAAUAUGAUGAAUUUCAAGACAUUUCAUCAAAAAUAUAUUAUUUUUCUUAGUUAUCAUUUUAUCAUCGCUAUGGUGCAUUGACUCAAACUCAAUGUCUUACCCAUAUAAGGCGUGUUACGCCAUAAUUCUAUGGGACUUGAACCAAAUCACGGUGCAUCAAAACUCUAAUUGAUGUCUUACAUCUUAUCCUCAAAUAUUUUUCAUUACGGUGCAUCCGGACUUUAACAUGAUGUCUUACCCUUUUGGUGCAAUGAAACUUGAAUCCGUCGUCUUACCCUUAACCAACGGUAUAAUAACGAAGUACAACAUGAUUUAUUCUUUGAGUCUUUCACAACAAUCAAAAUAAUAUUCAAACUCAUGCUAUUAAAAUUUUAUACCUUCUUCUAUUUAAGAAGUUUUGUAUAGCAUGUCAUAUUCAACCAAUAGUAGUAUAUGUCUUCGGUUCCUGAUAAUUGUUAGUGACUGAAUACUAUUUUAUUCUAAAUCAUAAAAUAUUUUAGAAAAUACAUACUUGAUUUUAUGCAUAUAAUACUUUGAUAUUCAUAACGAGAUCAACCAAAAUAUAAGCUAAAGAAAAACACGAACUCACUCUCAAUUAGACAGAGACUCGUGCUGAUAACGUGCUAUAAAAUUAAGCUCAUAAAAAUAUAAUCAUAAAGAAAAUAAGACAAGAGAAGUAGGAUUUUUCUUCUUAUUCAAUUGUGUACUUCAAAAGGUGAGUGAUGUCUCUAUUUAUAGUGUUGAGAUAUCACUCCCAAAGAUCACGAAAUUAAUAGAUACAUCACCUUGGAAAUAUACAUACAUGAAUACAAAUAAUUCAUGAAUAUCCGAUGGACAAUCCACUUAAUUAGUUCAAUGGAUUUGUAGCAAAAUGCAUAUAAUUAAUUAAAGGAGGCAAAUUUUAAAACGAAGCAAACUCUUGGUUAUAAAAGCGAGUGUCACAGCACUAGUUUAUAUAUAGUACCAACCUUCUCUUCCUUGUAACUUACCUUUUAGCAAUGGCGGAAAUAGUACAUGAUUUUUUCCCAUUGAUGAGAGUUUACAAAGAUGGUCGAAUCGAGAGGCUGGCCGGCGAAGGUUUUGUCCCACCUGAAUCUGAUCCUGAAACCGGAGUACAAAUCAAGGACGUUCAAAUUGAUCCACAAAUUAACCUAUCAGCAAGACUUUACCUGCCCAAAAAUGUCGACCCGGUUCAGAAAAUUCCCCUUUUCGUCUACUUUCACGGCGGCGGCUUUGUUAUCGAAUCUGCUUUUUCUCCUACCUAUCACAAAUAUCUUAGCCUGGUAGCAGCUGAAGCAAAAGUCGCGAUCGUCUCUGUUAACUACAGGUUAGCUCCUGAGUACCCUUUACCCAUAGCUUAUGAAGAUUCAUGGCUAGCUCUCAAAUGGGUCACUUCACAUGCCAAUGGUGAUGGUCGUGAACCAUGGCUAAAAGACUAUGCCGAUUUCAAUCGUGUCUUUUUAGGCGGAGAUAGCGCGGGUGGUAACAUCGCACACCAUAUAGGAAUUCGAUUAGGGUUGGAAAAGUUUGAGGGUGUGAAAAUUGAUGGGAUUUUCCUUGCGUGUCCAUAUUUCUGGGGAAAGGAUCGUAUUGAGGGUGAGGGAGAAAACUUGCUUGCCAAGGAUUUCGUUGAGGACCUUGUGUUGAUUGGUAAUCCCAAUAGCACGGGGUUAGAUAAGGAUCCUAUUGACUUAGGUUCCAAGGAUCUCUUUGAGAAGCUAUGGUUGUUUGUGAAUCCCACCAGCUCUGGAUUAGAUGAUCCGUUGAUUAACCCGGAAAAGGAUCCGAAAUUGUCUGGGUUAGGGUGUGAUAAAUUAGUUGUGUAUGUGGCCGGAAAAGAUCCGUUGAGAUUCAGGGGAUUUUACUACAAGGAGGUGUUGGAGAAGAGUGGGUGGCCGGGGACGGUGGAGGUUGUGGAAGUUAAAGGCAAGGGACAUGUGUUUCACCUCUUUGUUCCUGAAGCUGAAGAAGCCAUAGCCAUGUUGAAAAAAUUGGCCUCUUUCCUUAAUCAGUCAUAGGACCCAGUCAUUUAUAAUCUUGUUUGUCAUGGAAAUUCAACUAUAUAAUAAGGCAUCAUGUGCUUAGCAAAUGAAUUAAGUACUAUUUUUAAUUAGACGUAAUUGUGUUUUUGUUGCUUAAAACCUUAAAAGUGAUUAAUAAAAUAUCUUAAAAGUCUUGUGAAAGAAGUCUUCAUUACUAACAGGGACGUGCAUAAUUGUGAUCGCUAUUGUGCAUAAUUAUUAAGUUACACAAUAAUAAUAACUUUAUUCUGCCUCGUUUAAUAUUUUUUCAAACAUUUGC
rnacentral:lncRNA from 1 species